GACGAAAGCUGGCGGCGUGCUUAACACAUGCAAGUCGAACGGAGUGGCGAACGGGUGAGUAACACGUGGGUGACCUGCCCUGCACUUCGGGAUAAGCCUGGGAAACUGGGUCUAAUACCGGAUAGUGUGGGAUGGGCCCGCGGCCUAUCAGCUUGUUGGUGGGGUAAUGGCCUACCAAGGCGGCGACGGGUAGCCGGCCUGAGAGGGUGGACGGCCACAUUGGGACUGAGAGACGGCCCAGACUCACACCGGAGGCAGCGGUGGCGAAUACUGCAGAAUGUGAGGGAGAGUGAGUCUGCGCCGCCGUCUGGGGGAUGACGGCGUUCGGGUCGUAAACUCCUUUCACCAUCCCCGUGACAGAUGUCGAAGUCGGACCGUCGAACGUCGCGCCAGCCGCCGCGGUAAUAC
rnacentral:rRNA from 1 species